GCCAUGGACUGGGCAGAACUGGCCUGGUGGGCAGCACUGGGGGAGACCUGGACAGACAGAAGGAAAAGCCAACUCCUUUGCCUGGUAGGAACUCUGAGAGGGAAGAAAUGCCCUGGAUCACACAUCGUGCAGGACAGAGUCACCUCAGCUCUGCAGGAAACCUGAGCAACACAUUGCAAGGUUUCCCUGUGAAAAAGGGCUCCAAGGUGGACAUAAGUCUAUGGCAUGAAAAGCCAGUAACCAGCUCAGCCUCUCCAGCUCACAGAUUCCUCACUAGAAGGUCCAGUUGGUGGAUCCUGGUUCCAGUUGGUGGAUCCUGGCUCUGAUCAGUGGAUCCCCAAGUCCAGUCAGUGGAUCCCAGGUUGGGUGGUGGAUACUGGCUCC